GACCCCAGUCCUUCACCAAAAAAAAAAAAAAACAGUCUACAUGCUUUCGUAGACAGAAAAGGUCUCAUUUUUUAAGUGUGCGUUACAAGCUGUUCACACAUUGGCAAAAAAAAAGAAAAAAAAAAAAACUAUUAAUGCAUGUUUACUUUUACGAUGUUUACUUUGCAAAUCCAUUAAAAUAAUCACCUUGAGUGUGCCAUUGUGGAUCAGGAUGAAAGAACACUUUUCCAGAACGCAUUCACUGUGUUGAAUUACAGUUCGGUUCAGUACUGGUUCGAAAUAAACUGCACAAACUGCUAACUUUGGUCAUGUGAUGUCUACGUCUAAGCAGAUCUUUAAUCUUUCCUCUGCUUCCGCUGACUGCGUGACUGUCUCAGCUCAGUUUCCGCUCAUGAUCAAACACGAUGCCCCUCUUACGGCGGGGUUAACAGCCAUCAGGGGGAGUAAUACACUGCGCAUAAUGUCCGACUCAGGAAAGGAAAACACCACUCAGCCAAAAGCGCCUCUGAUGGCGAAGACCACCUCAUGUCCCCUCGUCUAGAGCAGCAUAUUUUAAUUCCUCACAGAGUUAAAGAUUUAAUCCUCAUUUGCCUGAGGCCCUCUGGGCACGAAUCACUGACAUUUGGAAUAAUUGUUGUUGCAGGGUAAUCUCACGAGGGGGCACAGAGGCAGAGAGAGGAUCUGCGGAAAGGACUAUGUCAGCUUUUAUUUAUUUGCACAGGAAUCGCCAGGGGCAUCUCCUCCUCGUCACAAUUAUGAAGCUGGCCCUGAGAGAGGGAGAGAGAAACUGCAAAGAAAGAACUGAAACUUACCAGGGCUUGCUAAACAAAUGGCCAUACCAAACGGACUGGACAUGGAAAGGAAGUGACCCCCCCAAGCAAAUGAAAAAGCAAAAAUCCCUUUCUUUUUGCUGAUGCUGAAGCAGAUGGCGGAAAAUGAGCUGAAAGUUUAUGAGGAGGAGGUGAGAGAUUGCAGGAGGGCAGCUGGGAAGGUGAAUCAGAGAAAAGCGAAAGAAUCAGGGCUCUCGCAGUUUAGAGGAAAUGAUGUCAUCAUCUGCAGCAUUGCUCACUUUAAGCCUCUAUGUGUAGAUUUCUGAAAGAAAAAAAGGCCAAUCAUUCUGUCAUAUUCAUAUCUUAUAUUGUCAUCAUUUGGCUGUAAAGCAAAAACUCAAAUUGUCUAUUAAUAUUUGGGAAGAU